AGAAAAUGGUGAGAUCAGAUUCUUAGGAAACAGAUUCUGAUGGAGUGACCUGGGACCCAUCACCUGUAAGGCCCACAGGAAGAAGGGUCAGAUAUCAAUCACCCAGAGAUCAUUACACAGAAGCUAGACGGCUCAAUCCUAGAUGAUUCUUACAUCUCUGUCUCCACAGAAGGCCAGCAUUACAAUUGCCAUCAUAGGAUCCAGGUCCAGGUCAGAAACAUACCCAUUGCCAAGCUUGGCUACCAGCAUUGGCUCCUCUGGACCAUAGAUUCAGCUGACUCCCAAGGAAAUACUUCUCAGAAGAUUUCACUUCAAUGACAAAGACUCUAACUGAACUUAGAACUAGGCUGUAUGACCAAUGACCCUUCAGAUGAAUCUGUCUCAGUGAAUCAGGUACAGGAACUCUGCCUUAAACAAAGACAUCUGGCACCAUUUAUGAGUGCAAAUGCAGAGGCAGGAUGACUCUCAGCAAGCAAUUUUACAUGUGCUGACAUCAACACCUGUUCAUCGCCACAACGAGACACCAACUAUUCCUAAGAGGAAAAAGAUGUAACCUAUAUACCCACAAAGUGGAUUGGGAAUAUAUGGUCAUAUGGUAUAUUAAAACCAUAUCAUAGAAACUAUUGAGAAUUUACCUAACACAUCAUGACAACAAAGUGAACAGCACCCUACCUGAACCAUGUAAAAGGGAAAAAGCUGUAAUGAAGACAUCCCUAUGAACCUGUCAACUAUCUUGUGUGUGUACACUGGAAGACAGACAGACAUAGAAGUCCUGACUGUCCUUGAUGCUUCAGCUCAGCAUGCUACUUGAUGUCCUACAGCUUGAUGUCGCCCACUAAAGUUUCUAGUUUUUGACAGGUCCUAUGUCUCUUAGGCUCUACUCUACCCUGCAACCCAAUAACUUGGCUAUGUGGGUCUACAAAAUCUUCAACCAGAUUAAUAAAGGUCUACUGUAA
rnacentral:lncRNA from 1 species